GCCUUCGUGGUGUAACGGUAGUACACUCGACGUGUAUUCGACAGGUACAGGUUCGAAUCACGGCGAAGGCA
rnacentral:tRNA from 1 species